ensembl:lncRNA
UGUUACUCUCAACAUUCUCUGAUUCUGAGCUACUCUACCAAGACCAAGCUACUACUACUACUGUCACUGUGUUACUCUCAACAUUCUCUGAUUCUGAGCUACUCUACCAAGACCAAGCUACUACUACUACUGUCACUGUGUUACUCUCAACAUUCUCUGAUUCUGAGCUACUCUACCAAGACCAAGCUACUACUACUACUGUCACUGUGUUACUAGCCAGCUCAGGGCUGGAUGCUGCCCCGGGGGUGGUGGUGAAUACUACAGAGGAGGAGGUGGAAGGGGUGGACUCCCAGUCACCAUGCCCAGCCGGGUGGCAUCAGAAUGAGCAUCGCUGCUUCUCCUUCUACCCCGUCUGGGCCACCUGGGCCACUGCAGAGGUAACGCUUGUAAUUGGGAGAGACUGAGAAACUAAAAGUCAACUUGUUCUGUUGCUGUAGUAGAGUUGGUUAGGCAUUGAUUUAGGGCAAAU